rnacentral:rRNA from 1 species
ACGGGAGGCAGCAGUGGGUGAUAUGGCGCAAUGGGGGAAACCCUGACGCAGCAACGCCGCGUGAAGGAAGACGGUUUUCGGAUUGUAAACUUCUUUAAGCGUGGAAGAAGAUGACGGUACACACAGAAUAAGCCCCGGCUAACUACGUGCCAGCAGCCGCGGUAAUACGUAGGGGGCACGCGUUAUCCGGAUUUACUGGGUGUAAAGGGCGUGUAGGCGGGAUUACAAGUCAGAUGUGAAAUACCGGGGCUUAACUUCGGAGCUGCAUUUGAAACUGUAGUGCUUGAGUGCUGGAGAGGAAAGCGGAAUUCCUAGUGUAGCGGUGAAAUGCGUAGAUAUUAGGAGGAACACCAGUGGCGAAGGCGGCUUUCUGGACAGUAACUGACGCUGAGGCGCGAAAGUGUGGGGAGCAAACAGGAUUAGAUACCCUGGUA